CGGUGGUGGUCCACCGAUCACCAAACGAAAAAGGAACUUAAGUAAUUCUGAAAUAGAAAUGCUAAGGCAACAGGUAAAUGCCAAACGAGGCAUAAUAUUUAGUAGUGUUUCCAGUGGUUUAAAAGCCACCAACAAAACGGAGGCAUUGAAGGAGAUCACGGAUUCCGUGAACUCUGUUUCUGGACAACGUCGCUCAAUUGAAGAUGUAAAAAAGAAAUGUUUUGACUUAAAAUCAGAGACUAAAAAAUCCAUUGCCAAACACAAGAGACAUAUGCUGACCACUGGAGGGUGCCAUGCAGGCCUUGAGUUAUCUGAGAUUGACCAGCGCAUCGGGGCCAUAAUUGGUGAGACGGCACUCUCAGGUGUGCCAUCAGUGGAGCAACUGGACACUGACCAGGGCCCUAUAUCAACAGCUUCAUAUCCUCCAAGGCCAUCUCCCACCAGUGAAUCAGACGAUCUCCAAUCCAGACAACCCCUCUGAAGAGGAACCUGACACCAUUCGGUCUUCCUGCAGUAGGCCUGCCUCUGUACUUACCGACAGGUCCCGUCCAACUGCACGUGUCAUCUCCGAUGCGGUCUUGAAUAACCAGGAGCGGAUUGCGCAAAGUCUCUGAAAUCGCUUCUACUCUGGCCACAAUAUCAGAAACACUCAGACAUAAACACACAUUAAAAAAUAUAAAGAACGUCCACUGAAACCUGUGUCAUUUCAUGUGUUUAAUUCGUGGUAUUUAAAGGACAAAACAAAUCAAACGAGAAAUUAUUUGUU